GAUGAACGCUGGCAGUGUGCCUAAGACAUGCAAGUCGAACGAGGUCUUCGGACCUAGUGGCGAACGGGUGAGUAACACGUGGGCGACCUACCCCCAAGUACGGCAUAACCCCGGGAAACCGGAGCUAAUUCCGUAUGUGCUCGUAUCUCAUUUGAUACGCGUAAAGAUUUAUCGCUGGGGGAUGGGCCCGCGGCGCAUCAGCUAGUUGGUAGGGUAACGGCCUACCAAGGCGACGACGCGUAGCCGACCUGGAAGGGGGACCGGCCACGGGGGCACUGAGACACGGGCCACACUCCUACGGGAGGGAGCAGUUAGGCAUCUUCCGGAAUGGGCGAAAGCCUGACGGAGCGGCACUGAUUGGAGGAUGAAGGUUUUCGGAUCGUAAACUCCUGAACGAGGGACGAAUAAUGACGGUACCUCGCUAAUAGCACCGGCUAACUCCGUGCCAGCAGCCGCAGUAAUAC
rnacentral:rRNA from 1 species